ensembl:lncRNA
ACUUUGUAUACAUUGCUUGUACUUUACAAAGUUUUUGGAACAGAUUCCUGUUGGAACGUUCCACAAAUUAUACCCAUCCUUCGCUCACUAGCAAAUCAAGUAGACUUGCCACAAAAGGUAGUGCAGGGUCUCCCCAAACUGUAUAGUCUAGUCAAUGCUGCAAUGGAAGAAAUAUGUGCCCCAUCAAUUGUUGUUGAGUUGGAUGGCGAAAUGGGACGUCUUAAACUGAUUGUCAGAACAGCACCUUCAACAGCUGAUUGAACUGGAUCUGCCUGUAUCUUGCAAAUGCUUAGCAUCUCAACACAAACUGACCAAUGCAAAAAAUACGGUAUCGUGGUGAGGGAACAUGCAGCCAAAUGAUAGAUGAGGAGCUGGACAAUCUGGUGGACACAAUCAAGACAAGUUCACCACAAUCAGGAUGGUGAGAGAAUGUCUGAAAAUAGUGGGUCAUCGAGUCAGUGGACCCGAGUGUGGGACUCAGCGCAUCAUGUCGAUGCUGCAGGAAUACAGCAAAGAAUGGCACGACUUGGUUGUGUUGUCAGAACAUACUCUGUUCGGUGUCCUCUUUCCCUCAUACAUGUGGACACCAACCACACGUUGAUCAGUUUCAAAACGAUGUCCUAUAGAUCAUGUACACAGUGCAGCAACCAACAACAAAGCAUCAACUGCCAUUGGUUUCUUCCUGGAGUCUGUAGAGAAACUUGGCUUUCCAUUAAGGUAACCGCAUCAUUCCC